rnacentral:rRNA from 1 species
AUUGGUCAAUGGAGGGAACUCUGAACCAGCCAUGCCGCGUGCAGGAAGACUGCCCUAUGGGUUGUAAACUGCUUUUAUACGGGAAUAAACCCCUCGACGUGUCGGGGGCUGAAUGUACCGUAGGAAUAAGCAUCGGCUAACUCCGUGCCAGCAGCCGCGGUAAUACGGAGGAUGCAAGCGUUAUCCGGAUUUAUUGGGUUUAAAGGGUGCGCAGGUGGUUAAAUAAGUCAGUGGUGAAAGUCUGCCGCUUAACGGUAGGAUUGCCAUUGAUACUGUUUAACUUGAGUUUAGGUGAGGUAGGCGGAAUGUGUAGUGUAGCGGUGAAAUGCAUAGAUAUUACACAGAACACCGAUUGCGAAGGCAGCUUACUAAUCUACAACUGACACUGAGGCACGAAAGCGUGGGGAUCAAACAG